GUGGGGAAUCUUCCGCAAUGGGCGCAAGCCUGACGGAGCAACGCCGCGUGAGUGAAGAAGGUUUUCGGAUCGUAAAGCUCUGUUGUCAGGGACGAGAGACUUGAUCAGGAAAUGGGUCAAGGAGGACGGUACCUGGCGAGAAAGCCACGGCUAACUACGUGCCAGCAGCCGCGGUAAUACGUAGGUGGCGAGCGUUGUCCGGAAUUAUUGGGCGUAAAGGGAGCGCAGGUGGGAUUGUAAGUCAGUCUUAAAAGUUCGGGGCUCAACCCCGUGAUGGGAUUGAAACUACAAUUCUUGAGUGCAGGAGAGGAAAGCGGAAUUCCUAGUGUAGCGGUGAAAUGCGUAGAUAUUAGGAGGAACACCAGUGGCGAAGGCGGCUUUCUGGACUGUAACUGACACUGAGGCUCGAAAGCGUGGGGAGCGAACAGG
rnacentral:rRNA from 1 species